rnacentral:rRNA from 1 species
GACGGAGGAUGCAAGCGUUAUCCGGAAUUAUUGGGCGUAAAGCGUCCGCAGGUGGCUAGUCAAGUCUGCUGUCAAAGCGCGGAGCUUAACUUCGUAAAGGCAGUGGAAACUGAUUAGCUAGAGCAUGGUAGGGGUAGAGGGAAUUCCCGGUGUAGCGGUGAAAUGCGUAGAGAUCGGGAAGAACACCAGUGGCGAAAGCGCUCUACUGGGCCAUGACUGACACUGAGGGACGAAAGCUAGGGGAGCGAAUGGG